GGGCAGGUGGCAGAGCGGUUGAUUGCUCCGGUCUUGAAAACCGGCGAAGGUGAAAGCCUUCCGGGGUUCGAAUCCCUCCCUGCCCGCCA
rnacentral:tRNA from 1 species